ACAUACCAAUUAAUAAUUUAUCUGGCAGAGUAUCAUUGCCACAAAAAGAAGUAGAGAUUUUAAGUACUCUAGAAGAAAAACUAUAAGACAAGAAAAUACUUGUGCAUAUGGUUGUGUGUUUUUGCAAGUUGAUUAUUUGUGACAAAUUGGAGUUUAAGACAAAGGAGAUUGUAUAUGUUACUUACUAAGAAUGGUUUUUAAAAAUGGUCUAGCUUUAAAUUAAUAAUCGGAAUAGGAUAAAUGUUAAUUGUACAUCUCGCUACAGAAGCUGUGAAGUCAAAAGAGCAUGGCUUAGGCAGCAUGUGAUGAGAUAGUUAAAAAAAAGCUGAUAGUCGUGGGUACCAUAUAUCAUUAGCUACAUUUCAAUAACAAAUUGCUUAGGUGAAAGCCGUGGAGAGGCGACGACCUCGGAAAAAUGAAGAGAACGCCAAAUUCAGGAACUUCUCUAAAUGAGUACAAGGUCCGGUUUAUUCAAGAUGGUGUGCCAUUUGAAGCAAGAGUGUGUCACAAAGCAUUCAUAGCUCUGUUUGGAAUAAUAAACAGGAAAAUCCAAACUAUAAAAUUUGCAUUGUCAAAGUCUUGGAAGCUUUGUUUUACUUGUUAUAAAUCUAUGAGUCGAAGGAUGUGAAAUAACGCCGUAUGAUUAAACAUAAUUUUAAAAUAAAGUAUAAAGUCCUGAUAUUAAAUUAUUUCUUUAUUUA